rnacentral:rRNA from 1 species
GGACUACAGGGGUUUCUAAUCCUGUUUGAUCCCCACGCUUUCGCGCCUCAGCGUCAAUAUCGGUCCAGUGAGCCGCCUUCGCCACGGAUGUUCUUCCCAAUCUCUACGAAUUUCACCUCUACACUGGGAAUUCCACUCACCUCUACCGAAUUCAAGUCUGACAGUCUUGAAUGCAAUUCCCGGGUUGAGCCCAGGGCUUUCACAUCCAACUUGUCAAACCGCCUACGCGCCCUUUACGCCCAGUAAUUCCGAACAACGCUAGCUCCCUUCGUAUUACCGCGGCUGCUGGCAC